GGCUGUAGCUCAGUGGUAGAGCACAUGCCUAGCAUGCACGAGGUUCUGGGUUCAAUCCCCAGUACCGCCA
rnacentral:tRNA from 1 species